UACGUAGGGCGCGAGCGUUGUCCGGAAUUACUGGGCGUAAAGAGCUCGUAGGUGGUUUGUCGCGUUGUUCGUGAAAACCGGGGGCUUAACCCUCGGCGUGCGGGCGAUACGGGCAGACUUGAGUACUGCAGGGGAGACUGGAAUUCCUGGUGUAGCGGUGGAAUGCGCAGAUAUCAGGAGGAACACCGGUGGCGAAGGCGGGGUCUCUGGGCAGUAACUGACGCUGAGGAGCGAAAGCGUGGGGAGCGAACAGG
rnacentral:rRNA from 1 species